CGACGGGUAGCCGGCCUGAGAGGGUGACCGGCCACACUGGGACUGAGACACGGCCCAGACUCCUACGGGAGGCAGCAGUGGGGAAUAUUGSACAAUGGGCSAAAGCCUGAUSCAGCRACGCCGCGUGAGGGAUGACGGCCUUCGGGUUGUAAACCUCUUUCAGCGCAGAMGAAGCGAAAGUGACGGUAUGCGCAGAAGAAGCACCGGCCAACUACGUGCCAGCAGCCGCGGUAAUACGUAGGGUGCGAGCGUUGUCCGGAAUUAUUGGGCGUAAAGGGCUCGUAGGCGGUCUGUCGCGUCAGGAGUGAAAACUCGGGGCUCAACCCCGAGCCUGCUUCUGAUACGGGCAGACUAGAGGUAUGCAGGGGAGAACGGAAYUCCUGGUGUAGCGGUGAAAUGCGCAGAUAUCAGGARGAACACCGGUGGCGAAGGCGGUUCUCUGGGCMUUACCUGACGCUGAGRAGCGAAAGUGUGGGGAGCGAACAGGAUUAGAUACCCUGGUAGUCCAYRCCGUAAACGUUGGGCGCUAGGUGUGGGGSUCAUUCCACGAGUUCCGUGCCGCAGCUAACGCAUUAAGCGCCCCGCCUGGGGAGUACGG
rnacentral:rRNA from 1 species